AUUGAACGCUGGCGGCAGGCCUAACACAUGCAAGUCGCACGGAGUGGCGGACGGGUGAGUAAUGCAUAGGAAUCUGCCUGGUAGUGGGGGAUAACGUCCGGAAACGGGCGCUAAUACCGCAUAUUAUUCGAGCGGCCGAUAACUGAUUAGCUAGUUGGGGGGGUAAAGGCCGACCAAGGCGACGAUCAGGAGCGGGUCUGAGAGGACGCUCCGCCACACUGGGACUGAGACACGGUCCAGACUCCUACGGGAGGAAGCAGUGGUGAAUAUUGGACAAUGGGCGAAAGCCUGAUCCAGCCAUGCCGCGUGUGUGAAGAAGGUCUUCGGAUUGUAAAGCACUUUAAGUUGGGAGGCGUUACCAACAGAAUAAGCACCGGCUAACUUCGUGCCAGCCGCCGCGGUAAUUC
rnacentral:rRNA from 1 species